CGCCAGACUCCUACGGGAGGCAGCAGUGGGGAAUAUUGCACAAUGGGGGGAACCCUGAUGCAGCGACGCCGCGUGGGUGAAGGAGCACCUCGGUGCGUAAAGCCCUAUCGGCAGGGAAGAAGGAGGACGGGACCUGACUAAGAAGCCCCGGCUAACUACGGGCCUGCAGCCGCGGGAAUACGGAGGGGGCAAGCGUUAUCCGGAUUUACUGGGUGUAAAGGGGGCGCAGACGGCAGCGCAAGCCAGGAGUGAAAGCCCGGGGCCCAACCCCGGGACUGCUCUUGGAACUGCGCGGCUGGAGUGCAGGAGGGGCAGGCGGAAUUCCUGGUGUAGCGGUGAAAUGCGUAGAUAUCAGGAGGAACACCGGCGGCGAAGGCGGUCUGCUGGACAGCAACUGACGCUGAGGCGC
rnacentral:rRNA from 1 species